AGCAGUAGAAUUUUUGUGUUUCUUUUGCAAGAUUUUGGGACUGUGGAGGUUGGUUGUCUGCGAUCGGGAGGAUAACCCGUUGGUUGGUGAUUCCAACGCUGGCUUCAGAAUAGCCAACUAGGGAAGAAAGGGGCGAAUCGGUGAGGGCAGGCACUGCGUGUUCUGGUUGGGCUGCCCACGCCUCCUUACUUCAUCGUCGUCCGCCGCCGAUCUGCAGACCUGUUGAUCUUCUCCUUUGUCCCGCGGCGUGAUUCUUCUGCGCUCGAUCAUUGGUUCGGACCAUGCUGGACGUUCAAGCUCUCGUCAAUGAUUUCGUGCUUAAACUCAAGAGACGGAGCUCAUGAAUGUUUAAUUCAAACAAGAACAGGAAAGGGAAAAAACAGGCUACAUGAGAAAUAGUAAAGGGUCCUCGCCAACAAGAUGCAAAAUAAUGUGGUUUUUUUGUGAUAAGAUUUAUGAGAGAUAUUAUUGAGGCAAAUUUUAACAAUGAGAAGGAUUCACUAUCAUCAAUAGUAAUGUUUGACAUAGUCUCAAUCUUCUCAUAUAAUUGUGUGUUUAUAAUUUUGCAAAGUCAUAUUAAUAUUUUUUUACUAAUACAUUCUAUGUGUUUGUUCACAGUUCAGACUACUCUAUUGAAGAAAUUGAUGAAGUGUGUUUCAAGUGGGCAGAAUGCAUUCAAGAUUAUAUUUAUAAAUAGCAACUAGAGAUGGUCUAGAGUUCGAGAAGGACACUCUUGCACAAGAUUGGAGUUGCAGCUAGAGUUCACUGGAGUUUGUACACUUGAGUUGGACACACAAACGUUGUCUAGAGUUGAACUACAAUCAUAGCCUUUUAUUCUGUAACUUUGUAGACUAGAGUUUAUAGACUGGAGUUGAACUUCAAACUCUAUUGUAGACUAAAGUUUGUGUAUUGUAUUUUAUCUGGAGUUUCUCUAUUGUACUUUAU